ACAGAGGGUGCAAGCGUUAAUCGGAGUUACUGGGCGUAAAGGGCGCGUAGGCUGGUAUUUAAGUCAAUUGUGAAAUCCCUGGGCUUAACCUAGGAAUUGCAGUCGAUACUGAAUAUCUUGAGUAUGGUAGAGGAAGGUAGAAUUCUCGGUGUAGUGUUUAAAUACAUAGAUAUCGAGAAGAACACCGAUGGCGAGGGCGACUUUCUGGACCAGUUCUUACGCUGAAGCGCGAAAACGUGGGUAACAAAGAG
rnacentral:rRNA from 1 species